rnacentral:rRNA from 1 species
CAGUCGCCGCGGGAAUACGAAGGGUGCAAGCGUUGAUCGGAAUUACUGGGCGUAAAGCGUGCGUAGGCGGUGAGUUAAGUCUGCUGUGAAAUCCCCGGGCUCAACCUGGGAAUGGCAGUGGAUACUGGCUCGCUAGAGUGUGUCAGAGGAUGGUGGAAUUCCCGGUGUAGCGGUGAAAUGCGUAGAGAUCGGGAGGAACAUCAGUGGCGAAGGCGGCCAUCUGGGACAACACUGACGCUGAGGCACGAAAGCGUGGGGAGCAAACAGGAUUAGAUACCCCGGUAGUCCCUGUCUCUUAUAC